AGGACGAACGCUGGCGGCGUGCUUCAUACAUGCAAGUCGAACGCGGUCCAAUCGGUGGAAACACCGAUGAAGACCGAGUGGCGAACGGGUGCGUAACACGUGAGCAACCUGCCCCGAAGACCGGGAUAACAGCGGGAAACCGCUGCUAAUACCGGAUACCCCCACUGGAUCGCAUGGUCCGGUGAGGAAAUGGAUUCCGCUUCGGGAGGGGCUCGCGGCCUAUCAGCUUGUUGGUGGGGUAAUGGCUCACCAAGGCAACGACGGGUAGCUGGUCUGAGAGGACGAUCAGCCACACUGGGACUGAGACACGGCCCAGACUCCUACGGGAGGCAGCAGUAGGGAAUCUUGCGCAAUGGGCGAAAGCCUGACGCAGCAACGCCGCGUGAGGGAUGAAGGCCUUCGGGUUGUAAACCUCUUUCAAGCAGGGACGAUAAUGACGGUACCUGCAGAAGAAGCUCCGGCCAACUACGCGCCAGCAGCCGC
rnacentral:rRNA from 1 species